AGAGUUUGAUUCUGGCUCAGAUUGAACGCUGGCGGCAGGCUUAACACAUGCAAGUCGAGCGGAAACGAAGGUAGCUUGCUACCAGACGUCGAGCGGCGGACGGGUGAGUAAUGCUUAGGAAUCUACCGAGUAGUGGGGGAUAGCCAUUGGAAACGAUGAUUAAUACCGCAUAUAUCCUACGGGGGAAAGCAGGGGACCUUCGGGCCUUGCGCUAUUCGAUGAGCCUGAGUGAGAUUAGCUAGUUGGUGGGGUAAAGGCCUACCAAGGCGACGAUCUCUAGCUGGUCUGAGAGGAUGAUCAGCCACACUGGGACUGAGACACGGCCCAGACUCCUACGGGAGGCAGCAGUGGGGAAUAUUGCACAAUGGACGAAAGUCUGAUGCAGCCAUGCCGCGUGUGUGAAGAAGGCCUUCGGGUUGUAAAGCACUUUCAGCGAGGAGGAAAGGUCAGUAAGUAAUAUUUGCUGGCUGUGACGUUACUCGCAGAAGAAGCACCGGCUAAUUUAGUGCCAGCAGCCGCGGUAAUACUAAAGGUGCAAGCGUUAAUCGGAAUUACUGGGCGUAAAGCGCGCGUAGGUGGUUUGUUAAGUUGGAUGUGAAAGCCCAGGGCUCAACCUUGGAACUGCAUUCAAAACUGACUCACUAGAGUACGAGAGAGGUUAGUGGAAUUUCCUGUG
rnacentral:rRNA from 1 species